AAACAAGAAAAGGCGCCUUAAUUUUUAAGUGCACAGUGACAAAGAAAGUAUGGUUGAUCUGUGGUUCGAUUCAUGGGAAUACUCAAAAAUAUUUCCUGUAUCUCAACCUCCCCAGGAACCUCAUCUCUCUUUCUUCUUCACACCACGCCUCACUUCGUCUUCCUCCUCUCUCUCUCUCUCUCUCUCUCUCUCUCUGGCGACAGAAAUUGGAACAAAUCCUUAAAUUUUCGACAGGGAGAGAGAUGAGCUCGUUGAUCUAUAUUUGUAUUUUAGCUCUGCUAUUUGCUGCAGUACCUUUGGGUACCACAAAAGAGCAACUGAGCUCGAGGGAGUGCGAGGAUCUGGAUUUUACGGGGCUUGCUCUUUGCUCUGAUUGCAAUACUUUUGCUAAGUAUAUCAAGGACCCAGGCAUUACAGUGUGAGUGUUGGCUAAUAAUCAUGACCUGUGCGUUGGGUUUGUUGGAUUUAAGUUGAAGAUUUGGAAGGAUUUCAUAGCAAGAAAUACCAAUGGAGUCAUAUAGAUAUAAUACAAAGAUCUCUAAGCCCAUUUUUAUGGACUCAAGUUUGCUUAUGGUGCUGUACUGGAGGUCUGCAUGAGGAAACUGGUUUUCUAUCCUGAAAUUGUGGGCUUCAUUGAAGAAUAGAAGGAUCGAUUCCCUUAAAUUAAAGUUCAAUAUGUCUUCAAUUCUCCACCAAAGCUGAUGAUGCUUGACGAUGCUGGCCAACACAAGGAAACUAUAAGGAUCGACAACUGGAAACGCGAACAUAUACUGGCAUACUGCGAUUACUUAGAGAGAAGGUUAAGCCCACUUCAGCAAAUUGAGUGGUUUGUCUUUGUUCUCUGUUUCUACUCCAAAGACAUUCUCACAUUGAAGUUGCUACAUGAAGUUCACUCAUCUUGGUUAUUCUUAAUGAGCGAGAUGCAAAUCUAUCUUAUAUUUUGGAUGGCUUCCUUCUGUCUUGAUGAAGAUGAAAAUUGUUGGUGUCUAUGGCUCUUCAUGAUCAUAACUUCAUUAGGAAGCAUGCAACGAAGGAUAUUGAGUUCCAAUCAUAUGAUGAUAAUGAGUUUCAUGAUAGUGAUUUAUGUGAACUUCUUUAUAGACUAUGGAUGGUGCUUCAGAUGGAUUAUGACAUUGUGCAAAAAUCAUAACUUUU